rnacentral:rRNA from 1 species
CGGCGGGGGCCCUUAAACAUGGCCAAGGUCCGAGCGGUAGCACAGAGAGCUUGCUCUCGGGUGACGAGCGGCGGAGGGUGAGUAAUGUCUGGGAAACUGCCUGAUGGAGGGGGAUAACUACUGGAAACGGUAGCUAAUACCGCAAAUGUCGCAAGACCAAAGUGGGGGACCUUCGGGCCUCAUGCCAUCAGAUGUGCCCAGAUGGGAUUAGCUAGUAGGUGGGGUAACGGCUCACCUAGGCGACGAUCCCUAGCUGGUCUGAGAGGAUGACCAGCCACACUGGAACUGAGACACGGUCCAGACUCCUACGGGAGGCAGCAGUGGGGAAUAUUGCACAAUGGGCGCAAGCCUGAUGCAGCCAUGCCGCGUGUAUGAAGAAGGCCUUCGGGUUGUAAAGUACUUUCAGCGGGGAGGAAGGUGUUGAGGUUAAUAACCUUGUCGAUUGACGUUACCCGCAGAAGAAGCACCGGCUAACUCCGUGCCAGCAGCCGCGGUAAUACGGAGGGUGCAAGCGUUAAUCGGAAUUACUGGGCGUAAAGCGCACGCAGGCGGUCUGUCAAGUCGGAUGUGAAAUCCCCGGGCUCAACCUGGGAACUGCAUUCGAAACUGGCAGGCUAGAGUCUUGUAGAGGGGGGUAGAAUUCCAGGUGUAGCGGUGAAAUGCGUAGAGAUCUGGAGGAAUACCGGUGGCGAAGGCGGCCCCCUGGACAAAGACUGACGCUCAGGUGCGAAAGCGUGGGGGAGCAAACAGGGAUUAGAUACCCUGGUAGUCCACGCCGUAACGAUGUCGAUUGGGAGGUUGUGCCCUUGAGGCGUGGCUUCCGGAGCUAACACGUUAAAUCGACCGCCUGGGGGAGUACGGCCGCAGGGUUAAAACUCAAUGAAUUUGACGGGGGGCCCGCACAAGCGGUGGAGCAUGUGGUUUUAAUUUCAAUGCAACACGAAGAACCUUACCCUGGU